rnacentral:rRNA from 1 species
CUUUGGGGUGUGACUGCGUACCUUUUGUAUAAUGGGUCAGCGACUUAUAUUCUGUAGCAAGGUUAACCGAAUAGGGGAGCCGGAGGGAAACCGAGUCUUAAUUGGGCGUUAAGUUGCAGGGUAUAGACCCGAAACCCGGUGAUCUAGCCAUGGGCAGGUUGAAGGUUGGGUAACACUAACUGGAGGACCGAACCGACUAAUGUUGAAAAAUUAGCGGAUGACCUGUGGCUGGGGGUGAAAGGCCAAUCAAACCGGGAGAUAGCUGGUUCUCCCCGAAAGCUAUUUAGGUAGCGCCUCGUGAAUUCAUCUCCGGGGGUAGAGCACUGUUUCGGCUAGGGGGCCAUCCCGGCUUACCAACCCGAUGCAAACUGCGAAUACCGGAGAAUGUUAUCACGGGAGACACACGGCGGGUGCUAACGUCCGUCGUGAAGAGGGAAACAACCCAGACCGCCAGCUAAGGUCCCAAAGUCAUGGUUAAGUGGGAAACGAUGUGGGAAGGCCCAGACAGCCAGGAUGUUGGCUUAGAAGCAGCCAUCAUUUAAAGAAAGCGUAAUAGCUCACUGGUCGAGUCGGCCUGCGCGGAAGAUGUAACGGGGCUAAACCAUGCACCGAAGCUGCGGCAGCGACGCUGAUGCGUUGUUGGGUAGGGGAGCGUUCUGUAAGCCUGCGAAGGUGGCCUGUGAGGGUUGCUGGAGGUAUCAGAAGUGCGAAUGCUGACAUAAGUAACGAUAAAGCGGGUGAAAAGCCCGCUCGCCGGAAGACCAAGGGUUCCUGUCCAACGUUAAUCGGGGCAGGGUGAGUCGACCCCUAAGGCGAGGCCGAAAGGCGUAGUCGAUGGGAAACGGGUUAAUAUUCCCGUACUUGGUGUUACUGCGAAGGGGGGACGGAGAAGGCUAUGUUGGCCGGGCGACGGUU